rnacentral:rRNA from 1 species
UACGUAGGGGGCAAGCGUUGUCCGGAUUUAUUGGGCGUAAAGAGCGUGUAGGCGGCCAUACAGGUCAGCUGUGAAAACUCGAGGCUCAACCUCGAGACGUCGGUUGAAACCGUUUGGCUAGAGUCCGGAAGAGGAGAGUGGAAUUCCCGGUGUAGCGGUGAAAUGCGCAGAUAUCGGGAAGAAUACCCGUGGCGAAGGCGGCUCUCUGGGACGGUACUGACGCUGAGACGCGAAAGCGUGGGGAGCGAACAGG